UGCGAUGAGUCGAGAGAUCACACAGCAUUUUGCUGUUCGCGCAAGCGACUAAGGUGAUAUUUUGAGCGGGACCCAAUUUAAUGCACAGAUUUGCAGGGGUUUGACUUUAGCGGAUUGUGGAGUCC
rnacentral:ncRNA from 1 species